rnacentral:rRNA from 1 species
UACGGAGGGUGCAAGCGUUAAUCGGAAUUACUGGGCGUAAAGCGCACGCAGGUGGCUGAGUCAGUCGAUUGUGAAAGCCCUGGGCUUAACCUGGGAAUUGCAGUCGAUACUACUCGGCUCGAGUAUGGGAGAGGGCAGUGGAAUUCCCGGUGUAGCGGUGAAAUGCGUAGAUAUCGGGAGGAACAUCAGUGGCGAAGGCGAGUCUCUGGGCAUCUCCUGACGCUGAGGCGCGAAAGCGUGGGGAGCAAACGGG